rnacentral:rRNA from 1 species
GAGCGGAAAGGCCACUUCGGUGGUACUCGAGCGGCGAACGGGUGAGUAACACGUGAGUAAUCUGCCCCUGGCUUCGGGAUAGCCACCGGAAACGGUGAUUAAUACCGGAUAUGACAGACCCUCGCAUGGGGGUGUGUGGAAAGUUUUUCGGCCAGGGAUGUGCUCGCGGCCUAUCAGCUUGAUGGUGAGGUAAUGGCUCACCAUGGCUUCGACGGGUAGCCGGCCUGAGAGGGUGACCGGCCACACUGGGACUGAGACACGGCCCAGACUCCUACGGGAGGCAGCAGUGGGGAAUAUUGGACAAUGGGCGGAAGCCUGAUCCAGCAACGCCGCGUGAGGGAUGACGGCCUUCGGGUUGUAAACCUCUUUCAGUACCGACGAAGCGCAAGUGACGGUAGGUACAGAAGAAGCACCGGCCAACUACGUGCCAGCAGCCGCGGUAAUACGUAGGGUGCGAGCGUUGUCCGGAAUUAUUGGGCGUAAAGGGCUCGUAGGCGGUUUGUCGCGUCGGGAGUGAAAACGCCGUGCUUAACACGGCGCUUGCUUCCGAUACGGGCAGACUAGAGGUAUUCAGGGGAGAACGGAAUUCCUGGUGUAGCGGUGAAAUGCGCAGAUAUCAGGAGGAACACCGGUGGCGAAGGCGGUUCUCUGGGAAUGACCUGACGCUGAGGAGCGAAAGUGUGGGGAGCGAACAGG